CACGUAGGGGGCAAGCGUUGUCCGGAUUUAUUGGGCGUAAAGAGCUCGUAGGUGGUUCGGUAAGUCGGGUGUGAAACCUCCAGGCUCAACCUGGAGACGCCACCCGAUACUGCUGUGACUGGAGUCCGGUAGGGGAGCGUGGAAUUCCUGGUGUAGCGGUGAAAUGCGCAGAUAUCAGGAGGAACACCAGCGGCGAAGGCGGCGCUCUGGGCCGGUACUGACACUGAGGAGCGAAAGCGUGGGUAGCAAACGGG
rnacentral:rRNA from 1 species